rnacentral:rRNA from 1 species
AUACGUACUGUGCGAACGUUAUUCGGAAUCACUGGGCUUAAAGGGUGUGUAGGCGGCCACAUAAGUAGGAUGUGAAAUCUCUCGGCUUAACCGAGAAACUGCGUUCUAAACUGUAUGGCUUGAGUAAGAUAGGGGUGUGCGGAACCUCCGGUGGAGCGGUGAAAUGUGUUGAGAUCGGAGGGAACACCAGAAGCGAAGGCGGCACACUGGGUCUUAACUGACGCUGAGACACGAAAGCUAGGGUAGCGAACGGGAUUAGAAACCCUAGUAGUCC